AGAUGUGGGGGUGAUCUGGCUAUGACAUCUGUCGCUCCUCUAAUGGGGGGGGCUGAUUUGGCUGAUCUGGCUGGCUAGGCAGGUGUCUUUUUCCUCCCUCAACGCUCCACGUGUGUCCCUCCUGAAGCUGCGCCCUCAGUCAAAGACGAUGACCAUCCCCCAGUAGAGGAGGACUGUUUCCUCAGUCAAGGGUAGACAAAUCACUGUGAUCCCCUGCUAUAGUUAAGGAAACCGGGUGACCUUGUAGUCAUACGAGUCCACAGAGGUGACGAGUGGUGGAGCUUUGCCAGGAGAAGCAAUGUCUGCACCUUCCU
rnacentral:snRNA from 1 species